rnacentral:rRNA from 1 species
UGCCAGCAGCCGCGGUAACACGUAUGGGGCGAGCGUUGUUCGGAAUCAUUGGGCGUAAAGGGCGCGCAGGCGGUUAUGCAAGCCUGGUGUGAAAGCCCCGGGCUCAACCUGGGAACUGCACCUGAUACUGCCAGUCUAGAAUACGGUAGAGGGUAGUGGAAUUUCCUGUGUAGCGGUGAAAUGCGUAGAUAUAGGAAGGAACACCAGUGGCGAAGGCGGCUUUCUGGACCGAUACUGACGCUGAGACGCGAAAGCGUGGGGAGCAAACCGGAUUAGAUA